GGCAACUUGGCCGAGUGGUCUAUGGCGCAUGACUCAAGGAUCGUCCUUACCCGGUGAACAACACCGGGGAGCAUUCAUGUCUUCGAAAGGGGGCGAGGGUUCGAAUCCCUCAGUUGUCA